rnacentral:rRNA from 1 species
UGCGUAGGUGGCGUCGUAAGUCGGGUGUGAAAUCUCGGGGCUUAACUCCGAAACUGCAUUCGAUACUGCGGUGCUUGAGGACUGGAGAGGAGACUGGAAUUUACGGUGUAGCAGUGAAAUGCGUAGAGAUCGUAAGGAAGACCAGUGGCGAAGGCGGGUCUCUGGACAGUUCCUGACACUGAGGCACGAAGGCCAGGGAGCAAACG